CGCGCAGGCGGUCUCUUAAGUCAGAUGUGAAAGCCCGGGGCUCAACCCCGGAAGUGCAUUUGAAACUAAGGGACUUGAGUAUGGGAGAGGGAAGUGGAAUUCCUGGUGUAGCGGUGAAAUGCGUAGAUAUCAGGAGGAACACCGGUGGCGAAGGCGACUUCCUGGACCAAUACUGACGCUGAGGCGCGAAGGCGUGGGGAGCAAACA
rnacentral:rRNA from 1 species